CAACAGCAGACUUGAGGACCCUGGCUUCUUUGACAUCUCAUCCAAGUUCUCGCUCACUAUUUUCAAGGAGACUCAGAUGCCCAAAUCAUACCACAGAAAAUUGAUAAACGCCCAUCCUCUGCAGCACAGCCAGUUAGCAAUCGUGGAGCUGUAUCCCGGAGCACCAUGGUGUUGUCCUGCCGGCAAGAUGAGCCGUCAGAGGGCCACACAGACCAGUG